rnacentral:rRNA from 1 species
CCCUUAGAUGUUCUUGGCCGCACGCGUGCUACACUGAGUGGAUCAGCGGGUCAGGUUGCGCGAAAGUGUUUCCUAAUCUUUAAAUCCGCUCGUGAUGGGGAUUGACGGUUGCAAUUUUCCGUCAUGAACGAGGAAUACCUUGUAAGCGCGGGUCAUCAUCCCGCGCUGAAUACGUCCCUGCCCUUUGUACACACCGCCCGUCGCUCCUACCGAUUGAGUGGUCCGGUGAGGCUUUGGGAUCUGGGCGGAAAGAGCGUUUCGCUGUUUCUGCUCGGAAAACUCAGUCGAACCUUAUCAUUUAGAGGAAGGAGAAGUCGUAACA